rnacentral:rRNA from 1 species
AUGGAGUGGGACAGCGACUCGGACGGCAGCGGGGAGGAGGACGAGGAGGAGGAGGAGGGGGAGGGGGUCGGGCCGUGGGGCGCGGAUGGGUGCCGGGGCGGCGGCGGGUUCUCGCUGGCGAUCGAGGGCGUGCUCGGCGGCGCCUGCGGGCUCGUCGUGUCCGACGCGCUCGAGCCCGACUUCCCCAUCAUCUACGUCAACCGCGGCUUCGAGGACGCCACCGGGUACCACGCCGAGGAGGUGCUCGGCAGGAACUGCCGGUUUUUGCAAUGCAGAGGACCAUUUGCUCAGAGGAGACAUCCUCUUGUUGAUGCUAUAGUAGUUACUGAGAUUCAGAGAUGCUUAGAGGAAGGAACUGAGUUCCAGGGUGAUCUGCUGAAUUUUAGGAAAGAUGGUUCCCCAUUUAUGACGAGUUUGCAACUAAAGCCCAUAUAUGGAGAUGAUGAAACAAUAACUCAUUAUAUGGGCAUUCAGUUCUUCAACGAUUGUAAUGUUGAUUUGGGGCCUUUGCCUGGCUCUAUGGCAAAGGAAGUUGUGAGAUCAACAUGGAUUACACCAGAUAAUACUCUCCGGCCAAGUCCAACAGGGAAGGGUAACUUUUGUUCUGAGUAUUCUCAUCUCUUCCAACUGAGUGAUGAGGUACUGUGCCAGAAGAUCCUAUCAAGAUUGUCACCUAGGGAUAUAGCAUCUGUAAACUCUGUAUGUAAGCGUCUGUAUCACAUGACAAAGAAUGAUCACCUUUGGAGAAUGGUUUGUCAGAAUGCAUGGGGCAACGAUGCUACUCGGGCUCUUGAGAAUGUGGCUGGCACAAAAAGUUUGGCAUGGGGACGGCUAGCAAGGGAGUUGACUACACUGGAAGCCGUCACCUGGAAGAAAUUGACGAUCGGGGGUUCAGUGGAGCCAUCUCGCUGUAACUUCAGUGCUUGUGCUGUAGGAAACCGUGUUGUCCUGUUCGGUGGGGAAGGUGUUAACGCACAGCCGAUGAAUGAUACAUUUGUGCUGGAUUUGAGUGCGAGCAAGCCAGAGUGGAGGCACAUCAAUGUGGGGUUGGCUCCUCCUGGCCGCUGGGGCCAUACCCUGUCAUGCCUAAAUGGAUCGCUGUUGGUUCUGUUUGGUGGAUGUGGAGGCCAGGGCCUGCUCAAUGACGUGUUUAUUCUGGAUUUGGAUGCAAAACAUCCUACAUGGCGUGAGAUUUUUGGCCUUACACCACCGGUUCCACGGUCAUGGCAUAGCUCUUGCACACUGGAUGGAUCGAAGCUGGUGGUUUCUGGUGGCUGUGCCGACUCAGGUGUGCUCCUCAGUGAUACUCAUCUUUUGGAUGUAACAAUGGAAAGGCCUGUUUGGAGGGAGAUACCUGCACCUUGGACUCCGCCUUCUAGGUUGGGGCACUCACUCUCUGUCUACGAUGGCAGGAAAAUCCUGAUGUUUGGUGGUCUUGCUAAAAGCGGCCCUUUACGACUCAGGUCUGGCGAUGUAUUCACAAUGGACUUGAGUGAUGCUGCGCCAUCCUGGCGGUGCAUCACCGGUAGUGGAAUGCCAGGAGCCUGUAACCCCGCUGGGGUUGGUCCGCCUCCUCGCCUUGAUCAUGUUGCUGUGAGCCUACCCGGAGGGAGAAUUAUGAUAUUUGGUGGCUCAGUAGCAGGUCUUCACUCUGCUUCACAGCUCUACCUCCUGGAUCCGACCGAAGAGAAACCCACCUGGAGAAUACUGAACGUCCCAGGGCGACCUCCGAGGUUUGCAUGGGGACACAGUACAUGUGUCAUGGAAGGAUCAAAGGCAAUAGUUCUUGGAGGACAAACUGGAGAGGAGUGGACGCUGACUGAAAUACAUGAACUCUCUCUGGCGAGCUCGUUAGUUUGA